GGGGAUGUAUUGCUUUGACGUAUGGCGCUCAUUAACAUCGGCAGGUCAUCUUUGAUAAAAGAUGUAAAACAGAUCAAAAUAUAACUGCAAAUUUAUAUAGCAGAACACUCGCAAAGGUACGUAGUGUCGCCAACAAUAUUGCUGACUUCUUCACUAUUACCCCAGCAAGUCCAGCCUACCUAGCGUAACUGGCAUUCAGCAUUUCACUCUCAUGGGUGGUGAGUGUUGGGUGGGAACCCAGCCCGUGUGACUUGAUAAACUGUUCGGUUUGUUUAUCACUAAGCCAAUAACGACCGAGGUUGUCGCUGUAUGGUUUGACCAUUUACCGCAGCGGCAAUUAACCAAAGAUGUUCUAUACCUGUAGAUGUUGUUAUUGUUCACGUACGGACGGGGGUUCGUUGCCCCCCAUCUCCACAA
rnacentral:tmRNA from 2 species